AAUGCUUCCCCGUGCCAGGAGUGAGCGAUGAGUUGGCUUGUGUUCCUGCCCCACAGAGUCGCCUUGGCUGCCGUGUCCUGCCCUCGCAGCUCUUGCGGGUUCGGGAUGUUCUAUGCUGUGAGGAGGGGCCCUAAGACUAGGGUCUUUCUGACCUGGAAUGAGUGCAAAGCAAAGGUGGACCAGUUUCCUGCUGCCAGAUUUAAGAAGUUUGCCAUAGAGGAUGAGACCUGGACCUUUGUCAGGAAAUCUGCAAGCCCAGAAGUUUCAGAAGGGCAGGAAAAUCAACAUGGAAAAGAAUCGCAGACAAAAGCCAGCAAGCGACUCCGUGAGCCACUGGAUGGAGAUGGAGAUGAAAGCACAGAGCCAUAUGCAAAGUACAUGAAGCUGAGCAUGGAGCCAGGGCCUCCAGUUAGCAGAGACACGUUUUCCUACAUGGGAGACUUUGUUGUCGUCUACACUGAUGGCUGCUGCUCCAGUAAUGCGCGUAGAAGGCCACGAGCAGGAAUCUGCGUUUACUGGGGGCCGGGCCAUCCUUUAAAUGUAGGCAUUAGACUUCCUGGGCGACAGACAAACCAAAGAGCAGAAAUUCAUGCUGCCUGCAAAGCCAUUGAACAAGCAAAGGCUCAAAACAUCAGUAAACUGGUUCUGUAUACAGACAGUAUGUUUACUAUAAAUGGUAUAACUAACUGUGUUCAAAGUUGGAAGGAAAAUGGGUGGAAGACAAGUGCAGGGAAAGAGGUGAUCAACAAAGAGGACUUCGUGGCACUGGAGAGGCUCACCCAGGGGAUGGACAUUCAGUGGAUGCAUGUUCCUGGUCAUUUGGGAUUUAUAGGCAAUGAAGAAUUUGAUAGACUAGCCAGAGAAGGAGCUAAACAAUCCGAAGACUGAGCCAUGUGACUUUAGUCCUUGGGAGAACUUGAGCCAAUGACUGUCUUGCUACUUGUACUUACUGGUGUGGAAAACAGCCUGCAGAUGGGACCAUCGCGGUGAUGGGCAGAUGCGUCUUUCACACGGAAUCAGGCACAGUGGCCUUCUGUGACACGUUUUUAUAAAAAAUGGUUAAAUACAUAAUAAAUUGAAUUUUUGAGGUUGGAGAAUUAUGUGAGAUUUUCGCAUUAUGUUUACUGGGUUUGAUACUGUUCUUGCUUGUUUUAUUGCAGGCAAGCAAGGCAAAUGGCCUAAAAUGCUGUGGCUUAUAUUUUGAUAAGAAAUCAAAAAAGCAUUGGUUAAAAGAUGCAACUCAGAAGUCUGGAAGUGUUCUGGAAUCUUCCAUUUACCAUCCAGUCAACGGGACUGAGUCUCCUGCUUGUAUAGGUGACUUGUGCCUGUGGGUACGUUAGAGAAACAUGCUGCCCAGGGCCUGGGUGUGCAGCUCAGUGGGCAGGGUGUAGGCUAGGUCUCAGCCCCACGUGCCAGCUUGCUGGGCACUUAGUAUAGGGCAAAGCCUGCCUGCAGGCGACCCUGGCUGCUAGGCCAUUCUCUAGGAACAGCUAGGACUUUUCAAGACUAAAAUACAUAAAUAAAUCUU